UACGUAGGUGGCAAGCGUUAUCCGGAAUUACUGGGCGUAAAGCGCACGCAGGCGGUCUUUUAAGUUUGACGUGAAAGCUCUCGGCUUAACUGGGAGAGGUCGUUGAAUACUGGGAGACUUGAGGAUAUGAGAGGGGUGUGGAAUUCCCGGUGUAGUGGUGAAAUGCGUAGAUAUCUGGGGGAAUACCAGUGGCGAAAGCGGCCCCCUGGCAUUUUUCUGACGCUCAUGUGCGAAAGCGUGGGGAGCGAACGGG
rnacentral:rRNA from 1 species